rnacentral:rRNA from 1 species
CGGAACGUGUCUUCUAGUGGGGGAUAACUGCCCGAAAGGGCAGCUAAUACCGCAUGAGACCUGAGGGUGAAAGCGGGGGAUCGCAAGACCUCGCGCUGGAAGAGCGGCCGAUGUCCAAUUAGCUAGUUGGUGAGGUAAAGGCUCACCAAGGCGACGAUCGGUAGCUGGUCUGAGAGGACGACCAGCCACACUGGGACUGAGACACGGCCCAGACUCCUACGGGAGGCAGCAGUGGGGAAUUUUGGACAAUGGGGGCAACCCUGAUCCAGCCAUGCCGCGUGCAGGAUGAAGGUCUUCGGAUUGUAAACUGCUUUUGUCAGGGACGAAAAGGGAUGCGAUAACACCGCAUUCCGCUGACGGUACCUGAAGAAUAAGCACCGGCUAACUACGUGCCAGCAGCCGCGGUAAUACGUAGGGUGCAAGCGUUAAUCGGAAUUACUGGGCGUAAAGCGUGCGCAGGCGGUUCUGCAAGAUAGAUGUGAAAUCCCCGGGCUCAACCUGGGAAUUGCAUAUAUGACUGCAGGACUUGAGUUUGUCAGAGGAGGGUGGAAUUCCACGUGUAGCAGUGAAAUGCGUAGAUAUGUGGAAGAACACCGAUGGCGAAGG